rnacentral:lncRNA from 1 species
AUCUCUCCAGCCCCACUAAGAUAUUCUUAUAUGUUUUUCAACUACAAAAUAACUUCGCACAUCUAAGCAUCAAUUUUUUUUAAUUCUGCUUAUCUUUUAAACUGAUUUCUGAUUCACACACAAGUUUAGGUGUAGAUUACAUUUGGGUUUUUUGGGCCCGGGUGAUGUGAGGCUUUGAGAGGAAAAGCAUGGAGUGUGUGAAAUAGAAUUACAUAGUGUAAGGAACUUGGACUUUGGAGUUAGAAUCCCUGGGUGUGGUCCUUACUUACUGGAACUUGAGUAAGUUAACUAGUCCUUUUGAUCUUUAGUUAUCUCUAGUAACAUUUUGGUUAUUUCCUACUUCAACCUUUGUUUUGAGAAAUCAUUUAUAUAAAAUCAUUUUUAGUAAAUAUGUCCUAUAGUAGGUUCCAGAUAAACCAGAUAAAUUAGUCCUCUUAUAAUCACUAUAAAUGUUAGUCCCCCUGUGUCCACUGUUAAGUAAGUUUUACUUGCAGGUGCUACAGAGGAUGGGGCCGUAGGAUCUCAUGUUCAAGAGCAGCCUGUGCAGUUUACCAAGACCGCUCUAAAUAAAGAAGGACUAGGGGUAGAACUCAGUGGAAAGUGUUCAGAAGAAGCAUUGUGCCCUUGGGUUCAAUUACCCAGUGCUGAAAAAAAGUAUUCAUUACUCAUUGUAAUUUCAGGGUGGUCUUUAAUGCAGGAUGGACACAAGUUGAUGAACAAGACCACUAAGAAAUACCUUGCCUCUGUUGUUCCCUACCACUGUACUGUCAAAAGUUCUGAUGAAAAAUUGGGUCUAGUAUUUAAGGAUAAUUUAUUGGAAGCUAUGCAUUGUAUGAUCGAUAGUAUGUAAUUUCUAUCAUCAGAAAUUUAGCACCAUGAUAGACUUAAUG